rnacentral:rRNA from 1 species
CCAGCAGCUGCGGUAAUUCCAGCUCCAGUAGCGUAUACUAAUGUUGCUGCAGUUAAAAAGCUCGUAGUUGGAUUUCUGGUUGAUAAUUGUGGUCCGUCGGGUCUUACCCGUAUGAGUAUCGCUUAUUAUCUGCCAUCCUAUCAGGGCACUAGGGUCUCGGCUCUAGGGUUCUGGUUCUUUUACUUUGAAAAAAUUAGAGUGUUUAAAGCAAGCUUGCGCGAUGAAUACAUUAGCAUGGAAUAAUAAUAUAGGACUACGGGUUCUAUUUUGUUGGUUUCUAGACCUGAAGUAAUGAUUGAUAGGGAUAGUUGGGGGUGCUAGUAUUGGGAGGCCAGAGGUGAAAUUCUUGGAUUCUCUCAAGACUAACUUAUGCGAAAGCAUUCACCAAGGAUGUCUUCUUUAAUCAAGAACGAAAGU